rnacentral:rRNA from 1 species
UGUGACCUCAAAUCAGGUAGGACUACCCCUGAACUUAAGCAUAUCAAUAAGCGGAGGAAAAGAAACUAACAAGGAUUCCCCUAGUAACUGCGAGUGAAGCGGGAAAAGCUCAAAUUUAAAAUCUGGCGGUCCUUUGGCUGUCCGAGUUGUAAUCUAGAGAAGUGUUAUCCGCGCUGGACCGUGACCAAAGUCUCCU